rnacentral:antisense_RNA from 1 species
AGCAAAUGUGCCACGUCAAGACUGGAAAUCACAGCCCUUGAGUGUGUCUCAGUCAGCGCAGCAGAAUUCAGGGGGGAAAGCUGAAUGCAACCCCUGGUGCAGGAAGGGAGGCUUUUCCUGAGGACCGGGAGAGGAUUUUAAGUUUUGCACACUAGGGACCAAGAAGCCCUCGGGGACACUGCUGAGAAAAGACUGCCGAAGGGAAGACCAGCGGGGAUCAUGGAAUCUAUUCCAGAGGAAACUAACCAACAGUGAGCAUCUUCAACUAAAACUACCCCUGGAUGUAAUAAGUGUUGCAUGCAUCAUUCCUUUAAUUGAGCAGAGUUAACUGGAUCAAAUUAUUUAUGGGAGAGAGAGGAAAAGUUAUAAAGAAUUAUAGUAAUUUUUAAUUUCCACCAAUAUACUCUUUGUAAGUGAAUCACUCUAUAAUUACUUUCUGUUGCACUGAAUGCAGCAACAAUAACACAAUAGUAUUUUAAGGCACUGGUUUUUGGCAUACUCUAACCUUGUAAUUAUUUAAAUAACAGCCAAGUUUACUCAUGUUUUUGAUUCUGUCAAGAAAAAAAAAAAGUUCCUUUACUCGAAAGUGAUGGCCGAAACAGAAUCGGAAAUUUAUUUUCUUGAAAUUACAUAAAUACACAGAAAAUGGCACUUAUUAGCUUUUGUUAAAACAUUACCUUACCUAAUCACUGCAUAAAAGUCCAGAUUUGUAGAAAAUUGUAAUUUUCUCAGUAUAUAAAACUAUUUUGCUUUCUAUUAAGUUUCUAUUUGCUAUUUUCUCAGAAUUUUACAAUUAAAGAUAAAUCACAAACUGUUUGUUUUUCUUAAAGUUCUUUGAGAAAAUGUCUAAUUAUACAAUCCUUGGACAAUACUGUGUUUUUUUGGUGCUGUGUUUUUUAAGAAGUCCUACUUACUGGAAUUUUGACUAUUUGGAUAUUUUUGUUUUUAAAAGGGGAGGGGAAUUUGCUUAAUACUUCUAAAGAUGUGAAUUGAUAAUUGAUAUUAAAAUAGAAUUAUUCUCAACUCACCAGAAUUAAAUUUUAUAUCUGCAUAUUUAACACUAUUAGCUCAUAUAAAUUAUAAGAAAAAUUUUCAAAGGAUCUGGUUUUAAUUUUUUGGAUAUGAAAUGAAUUUGCCUUUUCUGCCUUUUCUUAAGUACUAUUUUGUAACUAUAUUGCACUAACUAUAUCCAAAACACAUUCUGAGCAUCACUGUGAGUAACAGCCUUCCAGUUUGUACCCUUUUGAUUCACAGCAUGGCCCUAUAGUUAAUUAAGAGGUGGAUAACUUAAGCUCACAACUGCCUUUAAUUUGAUUUCACAUCCACAGUUAUAAACUUUGCAUUUAAAAGGAAAAUGAGACAUUUAAAUAGGUUCCUGUUGUUUCACAUAUAAUUGGUAAAAACAUAUUCCCUUGUAGAAUCCUAUUAUCAAAGCAUCAAAUACCAAAGUCAGCAACUUGGGUUGCCAAAUAAAUUAGGCUCAUUAAUUAUUUUGAAAAGGGCUGCUGUUUCCAUGUAAAUGAUAAUUUUCUUUUUCAUGGACAAGGUUAUGGUACUUAUCUACUAAAAGAAACAUGCAUAAACAUAGUUUUUAUCUUUAACUUCAGUAUUAAAAUAUGCAGUUUUUUGCAAAGAGGAAAAACAUCUGGUUCAAUUACGCUGAACUCUGACUACAUGUGGGCCAGUAAUAAUAUGAAUUGGACUUAAGAAUAAACCUUGUGUUUAAUCUCUUUUUUUCCUUAAAAUUUUAAUGUGAGUUUUCUGUUAAGCAAAUUAUCCAUGUUAGCACAUUUGGAACAAAUGUAUAAAUGUACUUUCUGAAUAAAGUCAAAAGUCUAACUUGUUUUUAGUUCCAUAAUGUUUUAAUGUUUAAUUAUAUUGUGUAUUUCUCUCCCUUUCCCCUUACUCUCCAAAAUCACCAAAUCUGGAAAACAGGCUGAUUGUAUCUGUCUAUGAGCAAAGGAAACCUGAAGGAACCAAGGGCCUGGCUGGACAGAGUUGUCAUGUGUCUGCCUGUCUACACUUGCUGUGCAGAACAUCCGCUCACCUGUACAGCAGGCACAGACAGGCAGUCACAUGACAACCCAGCCUGAAUGACAACCAGCCAUUGAAAGAAAGCAGCCCUCACACCAUAGCAUCUACACCAAGAGCUACAACCAAAAUGAGGGGCUCGGGGGCCUGGGGUUUUAAUCUGUUGGUUUAAUACUUAACUCAUGUAUUAUUUUAUUUUGAUUCAAGUAUUAAAACCCACCAAAAGUAAAGUGAGUGGUGCCUAUGAAAUAUAAUAAAACCCAUUUCUGAAAAUGUUCCUGUGCAUUCUAUAGUUCUCUUUUCCUAAUUGUUGUCAGCAAAUCACUACCCUUGACCUUUAUUGUACACAGCUUUGCAGCACCCUAUAUUGAUAUAGAAACUCAAUAUAACAAAACAAUAUAACUUCAGUCUGAUGCUUAACAAAGAAUAAAUUAUUCUAAGAAUUCUUGUCCAUAAACUAAGUAUGGUUUUCUAUGUCAUGAUUUUUUUUUUUUUUUUUUUUUUUUUUUUUAGAAGGGGAUAGGGUGGAAAGACAGAGAAAAGAAAAGGGAGAAAAAGAGUAUUCCAAAGGAUCAAGUGCUUUGAGUUAACUCUGCCAGUCUGGGUUAACUCUGCCAGUCUGGGUCUGGGCAAAACAUAGUGAAAAGACUACUAUUUCCAACUAGUGUUCAACUAUAUUAAAAUAAUAGUUUCUCCUCUUUUGACAUAUGGAAAGUUGAAAUUUUUGAUACUUCCACGCGUCAUGGUAUACAUAAAUUUAUGACUGCGUCAUUCUUUAAUUAAGAAGGUGCUUAUGCUACAGUUCUAGGAGUAGAAUUUACAAGGCCAACACAUUCACUUGCAACCUAUGCUUCCAUCACUAUAAACUUUCAAGAUCUUGAGAUGUUCAGGCAAUUCAUUUAUCUUCAGAAGCAUAAGGAAAGUGGUUAAUGCACUUGAAAUGUAUAUUUUGACACAUCUUUUGAGAAAAUAUCCAAACUUCAGUUUAUGCACUGUUAACUGGAGUGAAAUGAUAAGGGAUGGCUUUUGUCUAUGAAUACUUUAAAUACUUAAGGGUAAAAGGUGGGAAGAUGGAUAAAAUUAGAAAUGUGUCAACUUUUAUUUAGUUCAUUAACAUGUUUUAGCUUCAGUAUUUGAAAUUAAUUUUCAUCUUUCUUAGAUUCUGGUCAAGCUUAAAAAAUGUAACACAAGGCUACUCAAAACUUUUUUCACAUUUAAUAAUUAAACACUUUGUGUACGUAUUCUUAACUAAAGCAAACUAUUUUUCAUUCAGCUAUUUUAUUUUUAAAAUGAAAGUCUCAGUCUUAAAGCUAAGAUCCCAGUGAGUUUCAAAUUUUCUGACAGUGAUAUUUUAACCAAACCUGACAUUAUAGUUUCUUUAAUUAAAAAACUGAAUGAUGGGGCAAAACUACAAAGCACAAAUAUGAUUAAAGUUAAAUUUCUCUCAUUUAAACAAUCUUGUCUUAUGGCAAUAUGUCAUCUGCUAAAAUUCAUCUCUGCUUCUGCAAGAUACAUUGCACGAUGCAGAUUUUUGCCUUAAAUAAAAGUCCCAUUACUAGCAAAUAAAGUCCUAAACAAUACUUACAAAAUGUAGAAUAUAAACAGGAAGACAAUAUAAAAAUUACUCACAGAAUAUCGACAUCGUUCUACCCAAUCUUAAAUGCCUUGUACCACCUGUUGCAAAUGCUGCCUAUGAGAGUUCACGUAUGGAAUUAUUCUACUGGACCCUGCAAGGCUCAGGAGAGUGCUUGACAGCUCCCAGAAUGAGACAAUGACCUAGCCAGAACAUUAAGGAGACUACACCCGUCCUUCAGACUCCAAAGGGAAAGCUAGGACGGCAGCAGAGUCAUCCUAAAGUGAGGCACUCCAGGAUAACAUUUUCAAUAUUUUUCCUUAAAACAUAAAGUUAACACCUUUUUUGUUAAACAUUUUUUACUCAAUUUUCAAAACAAAUGCUUGAAAGAAUGUUUUGUAUGUAUUUUAAAGUCAUUAAAUGAGGCACAUUUAAAAAUUUUUCUCUUCUGGGAAAGGGUAAUAUAAAGGAUAAUAUUGCUCUUCCAGGAUAAACUUUUGAGUAGGACAAAUAAUGCAUAUAGGGGAGUGGGUUUGAAUCUAAGCUCAUUUUUAAUAAAUUUGGAAUAGGAUUGGCCAUUAUGGUUUAUUGAAUAAUACUCUUUUUUUCAAAAUUAUAAAUCUUUAGAUAAUACCAGAACAUGGAAAUAUUUGUAUGAAUAAUCCUAUAUUAAAAAAGAAUAACAUCAGAUAGUUUAUGUAUGUAAAAAAAUAUACAACUGUGAUCAUGCAGAAUUUUAAGUAAUAUAAGUGGAUUAGA